GGGAGGUGAACGGAGAGGGAACUCCAAACAUGCAGGGAGCAGAUCCUGACGAAUGAUCUGAGGAGGAAACGACAGAAAUGCAAGAUGUUCGUCCAGGAUGUUGAGCGGAUCAUGGACUUCAGAGUACGGUGAAGGGAACGGGCGCAGGCUGCCGACGGUGCUGAUAACGGAUACGUGCUGGUCCACCAGUGAUGUCAUACGCUGGCUUUCCAGCAGGUUCUGCAGGUCCUGCUCCUUGUCGUUGUUGAACUGAGUCUCCAGAGCCAACAGGAUGUAUUCGUCCAACAGCAUCCUGAUCAGAUGGAAGGAACCUGCCAGUGUCCAAAAUGCAAAGAGAAAAGAGGUCAUCGUGACUGAGGAUCAAGCUGUUCUUUGUUUGACCUGUGGGGUCACAGCUUUAAAACCUUCUGUGUGUGUUUGAGCUUCACCGGGAGUCUUCAGACCAAAUGGGAGGAAACAAAGUGACGUGCUAUGGGGAGUUUCUUGGCUGCAAGGCAUUCUGGGAGGUUCUCAAGGGAGGAGGCUAGCCAGUGCUCCCAGUGUUUGGCGAAGUUGCGGAUAUCUGCCAACAGA